rnacentral:rRNA from 1 species
AACUUUCAACAACGGAUCUCUUGGUUCUGGCAUCGAUGAAAGAACGCAGCGAAAAUGCGAUAAGUAAUGUGAAUUGCAGAAUUCAGUGAAUCAUCGAAUCUUUGAACGCACAUUGCGCCCAUUAGUAUUCUAGUGGGCAUGCCUGUUCGAGCGUCAUUUCAACC